ensembl:lncRNA
AGUGAAGGCAGGGCAUUUUGCAGAAAAAAGGGACAUUUCUGGUCAGCCUGGGUUCAUUCUCCCGCAACCAUCUCUGGACUUCUUUGGGAAGCAGGGUCUGAUCCAUUCUUGGUUCCCUGCAGAUGAGCUAUGUGUGUGUAUAAAAGGUCUGUCUCCCUCUCCACUUUGCCAAGUCUAGGAGGACUUACCACCAUCUCCCCCACUGUCCUGCCUAGCUCCUGGCACUUGCCUCUUCGUGGAAUGAAGAUGCUCAGAGAAGUGGAAGCCGUAGACAAAGAGCCUCAGUUUCUUUGCAGUUUGUCCUGUAAAGCAGGGGUCCCCAACCUCCAGGAUCUAAUGCCUGAUGAUAUGAGUCUGCAGUAGAUUGGAAGCAGCAGUAGAGGCACCAUGGGAGCAUCUUUGCCGUCUCUAAUGCCACUUGUUUAAUCAGCAUAAAGUGUCUGUGAAUAUAAGGAUCACGAUAACCAGAGCCAUUUGGGAAGGUGAGGUCUGGACCAUCUCCCUAAGACCACACUGGAGUCUCUCAGCUUGAAUUCUGCAAGCCAGGGCAGCAUUUCAGAAUCUCAUUUUUAAGUGCAUGUUAGUGUCUGCUGU